rnacentral:misc_RNA from 1 species
GAAAUGCGAUAAGUAAUGUGAAUUGCAGAAUUCAGUGAAUCAUCGAAUCUUUGAACGCAACUUGCGCUCCUUGGUAUUCCUUGGAGCAUACCUGUUUGAGUAUCAUGAAAUCUUCAAAGUAAAUCUUUUGUUAACUCAAUUGGUUUCUACUUUGGUAUUGGAGGUCUUUGCAGCUUCACACCUGCUCCUCUUUGUUCAUUAGCUGGAUCUCAGUGUUAUGCUUGGUUCCACUCGGCGUGAUAAGUUAUCUAUCGCUGAGGACACUGUAAAAGGUGGCCAAGGUAAAUGCAGAUGAACCGCUUCUAAUAGUCCAUUGACUUGGACAAUACUUUUAUGAUCUGAUCUCAAAUCAGGUAGGACUACCCGCUGAACUUAAGC